UACGGGGGGGGCAAGCGUUGUUCGGAUUUACUGGGCGUAAAGGGCGCGUAGGCGGCGCGGUAAGUCACUUGUGAAAUCUCUGAGUUUAACUCAGAACGGCCAAGUGAUACUGCAGUGCUAGAGUGCAGAAGGGGCAAUCGGAAUUCUUGGUGUAGCGGUGAAAUGCGUAGAUAUCAAGAGGAACACCUGAGGUGAAGACGGGUUGCUGGGCCGACACUGACGCUGAGUGCGCGAAAGCCAGGGGAGCAAACGGG
rnacentral:rRNA from 1 species